NAAAUUCUCUGGCUUUGAUGCCGAUGCCCAUCACUGGGGUUGAGGGUUUCUCUCUAUGUUCUUUGCACAACUGUGCACUAGAUUUAACAGUACCAUGUACUUAAACACUCCCACCACACCUGGUGGAUUGGGAUAGUCAUGGCCUAACUUGUUCUGGAGUACAUAUGUGGCAUGAUGAUUUGCGUACGUGUUAUUUCUAGGUGAGUAUGGUAACAUACAUAUAACUCUAGUUGAACUCUGAAUCCUGAGAACUUAGUUACACUCUCCGGAAGAAGACAUAGGGUUUUGAAGGUGGGGCCUACCAAUUCUGUUUGGGGGUAAAUUGUAACUUCCCACAAUUGUGACGAUAGCAGGUAAUGAUCAAUAGAGAUUGAAGGAUGAAGAAUCUUGGCGGCGGCGAGGAGCUUAGCUAGCCAUUACGGGAUUCCUCGGGACUACGGUCUAUUCUCUAGGGUCUAUCAUUGCGCUGUUACCCGGCCAUCGUAUACUUGAGCAGACGUCCUGUCGGACCUGAUAUCUACGGAUUGACUGAAAGACAUGAUGGCGAGCCUAACCAAACUUCAAGGAGAAAUCUUGUUUGGGUUGCGAGGUGAGCGUAUCCUUGUGAAUCACUUGUAGAGUGUGGUGAGAAGCCACUAGGACUAUAACAUAGCCGAAUGCGGGUUUUACUCAGUAGGCUAGUCUGAGGGUGUAAGCAAGGGUCAGUAGCGAUGUGGCAUGGCGGAAGGUUGCCGGGGGGGGGGUCUGUGUGAACAACUAGCACACUAACCGAAUUGUUGUUAUAUCAAUUCCUGUCGUUAAAUUAAUUUUAUUAGACAGCCC
rnacentral:misc_RNA from 1 species